GGGUCCCAGGCUUUAGGGAACUGCCGCCACAGAACGCAACUGAAAGGAACUCGACUCCAAAGCAGCCAUUUUCUCAGCAGAGGGGUGCUGCUGCCACCCCCAUAUCAACCCCAACAGCUACUGGGCUGAAACAGGCCCCAUACCUGCAGUCCCCAGACCGAGGGCGGACAGCAUUGCUGACGCGCUGGAGUUAUUCUGGCAGAGGCGCUGUGAGCCUGAGCGGCAGCAGGAAGCCAGCAGGGGAGCGGGACGUCUAGUGCAACGCAGUGCAUAAAAGUGUGGUGGCCAUAAUGAAGUAGAACUUCGUUUGCUUCUGAUUGGAACGCUCAUUCCUGCCAUAAGAGGUCCACUAACCAUGGAGGAGGACAAGGUGGCAGAUGAUGUUAGGUCUACCCCUACCCUGGUACCUGAGUGAAGGGCCUUCCGCCUGGCAUAUUUGUCACCCCGUCUGUAAGCCGCAUUGUCCGGGCAAGAACAGGGGGCUGCCGGUGUGCAAAGUUACCUCUGCGGCUGGCCUGGAGUAGACGUGGGACAAUUUUUCAUCCUCCGGUAUAACUCCUGUGGAGUACAGGCCGGAGGAGGGAGCGGAGACCGGAGCCCUGUGAGCGCUCAUGGCAGGACGCAAGAUCAGCCUGCAGCAGGAGGCCGUAGUCUGCAGGUCAUCCAGGCAAAACAGGUGGAGCGGCACGUCAGGCAGCAGCUGGCCAGGCUGGUGGAGGUUUGGCUGUGCUGCCUGUGUCCCUUCAAACGGAACUGGCAUGGUUGGCUAGUAUAUCCUCACCUCGGAGCGGCAGGAGAGGAGCGAUGAGGAGCCGCGGCCAGCCAUGGAGUGAGUGCUGCACGUGUGCCUGCCGGGGAUGCAGCUCCGUAUACGGGGCACACAAUGAUGAGAACCCCUCUCCGACAGGACGAAGGUAAGCGCGGGCUGGAUAUGGUGGAUAAUUUUGCUGCAGCUGUACUCCUGGACGCACAAGCAGCUGGAUCAGUAUGAUAUUUAUUGCUUUCAAGGUGUUGUGGCAAUGUUUAAGGAAUGCAUGUCAAAUGUGCUGUUCGCACUGCAGCUACAAGGGCCUAUGUCAGCCCAUAGAAGUCAAUGGGGCCGUGUAAUAGAAGGGGUUAUCCUAUGAAGUCCUUAUCACAUGGCCACAGGACAUAGCCUCUGCCAGCUCACUAAAAUACACCCUCCACCCUAUAUACUGGGCACACACUUCUGACCCCACCCUGUAUCCUGAGCACACACUGCUGACUCCCCCACCCAACCUGUAUACUAUGCACACACUGCAGACCUCCCGCUGUAUACUGACAGUGGGCAGGGUAUAAACUGUACACACCGAUGACUCCU